rnacentral:lncRNA from 1 species
AUGGCAGCUUUGCAAGAGGUGUGUUUCACUCGUCUCACUGGAGAAAGAAGACCCAGGAGGAGGCUCCAGGUGGGCUCUGGCUCCGGUCCCAGCUUUACCCAGAGCAGCUCCGCUGUGCUGUGUAUGGUGUCGAGUUCUACUGCCGGAGUGAUCACAGGAGCCCCUUCUCUUCAAACAGACCAAGGAUCAUUGCUUCUCACUGGCUCUCAGGCUGUGGACAUGGCAUGGCAACGUGAGCUCAAAGGAGGCCGUUCACCCCAGUCAUUGGGGAACUGGUCAAAAUACAAACUAAAGAUGGCUGCUGUCUCGUCAGUGAGGCCAAGCACAGACUUAGGCUUGAAAAAUGUGGAAAGUUCCUGGCAGGGGCCUGGGACCUGGUGCAGGGGAAAGUCUGCACAGAUACUGAGCUAGGAAGCACACAGGACAGCGUUCAGAGUCAAAAUGCUGAGUGUCUGCAGAUUGGAGAGGUGUUUCCAUCACAUGUAUCUCUGAUAGGAGCCAUCUAAAGCCAAGACGAAGGGAGAUGAGUAAGUUCUGGGGUCUGAGAUGAGGGAGGCAUUUGUCUCUGUACUGCAUGCCUUUCUGGAGGGCAGAAGCCUGGUCAGUUGGUCAGAGUGUGCCUGUGUGUGGGCAGAGGCUCUGAGCCAGGACUGCCUUUUCCCUUGACACAAAGGACUAAAUAUUGAGGAACCAGGUCCACAUAAGGUCAUAGAAUUUCGAGGGUGGAAAGGAUGUUAGGAUUACCUGAGCCUCUGUACUGCUUAAAUCCCCCUAAUAACACAGUCACAAAGUGGACACUUGCUUAAUCACUUCCUGUGAGUGGCCAUGGUUGGCCCCAAGGGACCAGUGGCCACAAGACUGGGAGCACGCUUUAAGCCCCUCUUGAACAGAUGGCCCUUGCCCCACAAUGACUGGCUACGGAUGCCUCCCACCUGAAGGCCUUUGGAAUUGGAAAAUCCUUCCCCCGUGAAAUGUGUGUAUCAAGCUAUAAUGGACCCAAAUUUACUUUGCACACCUUUCCGCUCUGUUUUGUCUCUGCCUUUUAUUUGAAUUUGCAGAUGACUUGCUAACUGACUUCUGUAUGUUACAAAUUUUUUGGCUCAUCCCAGUUCCCAUCCCAAAGUGGUGGUAAGUUGCCAAGUUGGCAAAACUCACAGAAGAUUCCCAUGUACAAAAUCUGGAGGAGGACAUCACCCAGGGAUGAGGCCAGAGUCCCAGUGAGGGUGGAAGGUGCCUACUAGGUCUUCCAGCAAAUUCCUCUCCCCUUUCUGCCCCACCUAGUCCUGCCUGAAGAGGGGAGCCUUAUUUACUCCUUUUUCAAAUUGCUAGGUGUCUUGAAUUUCUUUUUUUUUUUUNNNNNNNNNNNNNNNNNNNNNNNNNNNNNNNNNNNNNNNNNN